GGACCGAGUGCCGCUCACGCCC
rnacentral:siRNA from 1 species